rnacentral:lncRNA from 1 species
AACUAGGAUGUCAAUGGGUAUGGAUACCCGAAAUUUUACCCAAAUCCGAAUUCCAAUAAAACAGAUAUAUUUAGUGGAUAUGGAUAUAAAAAAUAAAAAUUCGAUGGAUAUGAAUUCGGAUAUGGAUUUUGAUUGUACCCGAUCCGAACCUGAAUUUAUUUUGUAUUAUAUAAUAUAUAUAUAUAUAUAUAUAUAUAAAAAUUUGAUGUUAUAUUUGAAUUUGUAUUUUAAACAUUUAGAUUUAAUAUAAUAUAUUUGAAAUAUUGAAAAAAGAAAUAAUUAUUUCGGGUUCAAAUUUUCGGGUUCGGGUUCGGGUUCGGGUUUCGGAUUUUUGGUCGGGUUCGGGUUUGGAUAUGGAUUUUUAAAAUCCGUCGGGUUGGGGUUCGGGUUCGGGUUCGGGUCUCGGGUUUGGAGUCGGGUUCGGAUUCGGUUUUUUAAAAAUCCGUCCCGAAUCCAACCCGUUGACAUCUCUACCUCUAACUCAACGCACCGGGAGAAAGAAGCCUCAGGAUUCGC